rnacentral:miRNA from 9 species
CUUGCCAAUGUCUUGUUUUCUGA